rnacentral:lncRNA from 1 species
GACAGAGCCUGGCUUUGUGCGGGAGGCAGACGCGCCCCGCGCGCCGCCCCCGAAACAUUCGCACCCCAUGCUGAGGCGCGCGUCUGGGAGUCCGUGGGCGCCCCGAGGGGCAGUGGAAGCCGUUGGAGGGCCUCAGGCAGGAACACAAGGUGUCGUGGCAGAAAGGAAGAAGGGGCCGGGCACGGUGGCCCACACCCGUCAUCCCAGCACUUUGGGAGGGAGGCCAAGGCAGGAGGAUCGCUUCAAUCCAGGAGUUCAAGAUCAGCCUGGGCAACACAGCAAGACCCCGUCUCUACUAAAACCCUAAAACUUAGCCAGGCUUGGUGGCAUGUGCCUAAGGUCCCAGGUCCUCGGGAGACUAAGGCAGGAGGAUUGCUUAAGCCCAAGAGUUUGAGGCUGCAGUGAACUAUUAUCACACCACUGCACUCAGCCUGGGUGACAGAGUGACUCUGUCUCAAAACUAAAUAAAUAAACAAUAAUUGUGUUAUUCUGUC